UGGCUUCAAUAAGCUCUGUGUUGC
rnacentral:piRNA from 1 species